rnacentral:lncRNA from 1 species
UCCUUGGGUGAAAGUCCCUAAAGCCCUCGAGGAAGACACUCCGAUGUGGGUGUAUGGGGUUGGUCCUGCCCCUGGGUUUUAGUCCCUAAAGACACAGGGUUGGUCCUGCCCUUGGGUAUGAGUCCCAAAAGACACGGGGUAUGACUUGCCCUUGGGUGAUGUCCCAGAAUAGUCAUUAUUAUAUUGAUCGAGUAUCUUGUGGAGCAUUGAUAUCUGCUGUGUAGAUUGUUGGGAGUCAGCAAAUUAUCAGUUGUGAAAGGAUGGAUGGGGAAAAGCAAUGAUGAAACCAAC